rnacentral:rRNA from 1 species
GAUCCUGGCUCAGGAUGAACGCUAGCGGCAGGCCUAACACAUGCAAGUCGAGGGGCAGCACGGUGUAGCAAUACACUGGUGGCGACCGGCGCACGGGUGCGUAACGCGUAUGCAACCUACCCAUAACAGGGGGAUAACACUGAGAAAUUGGUACUAAUACCCCACUAACAAUCAGGACCGGGCCGAUCGGUUCUGGUUUGGAAAAACUAACCCGGUCGGGUUAUUGGAUGGGCGAUGCGUUGUAUUUAGCUGGUUGGGUUGG